UCCACAUCUUGGCAAUUGUAAAUAAAUGCUGCUAUGAACACUGCAUAUGUGUAUCUUUUUUAACUAGUGUCUUCAUCUUUUUCAGAUAUAGACGCAGGAGUGGAACUGCUGGGUCAUAUGGUGGUAGUAGUUUCAAUUUUUGAGAAGAGUCCAUAAUUUUCUCCAUAGUGGCUGUACAGAUUUACAUUUCCAGUGGCAGUGCAGGAGGGUUUCCUUUUCUCCAGAUCUUCACCAACAUUUAUUAUUUUUUUCAUAAUAGCCAUUCUGACAGAAGUAGCACCAGUGAUUCUGGAAGUGCUCCCAAGAACCAGAGAAAAGUUAUGACAUUAUAAGAUAAAGGACUGUGGAUGACCUUUUCUGCCUAAGAGAAGGAAUGGCCAGAAAAUGUGGGGCUACACCAGCAGAAAACACUAGAGGCAACAGGAACCCUGCAAGACUGUCACCAGAGCAAAGCAGUGGAGAUGGGACAGUGCCCUACAAUCAGAGGGGCCUGGGGGACCUCCCUGGUAGUCCAG